GAGCUCAGUCGGUAGAGCACGAGACUUUUAAUCUUAGGGUUGUGGGUUCAAGCCCCACGUUGGAUU